rfam:Flavobacterium fryxellicola strain DSM 16209 FBFR49, whole genome shotgun sequence.
ACAACCACGAGCUGGUUAGGUCAAGAAGUCAGCAGACGUCAUAGUACUUGUGGCAACGAGCCACGCUAAAAAGCGUGGAGGUCUCACAAUCAAGGAAGGAC